CCUACGGGUGGCAGCAGUGGGGAAUAUUGCACAAUGGGCGCAAGCCUGAUGCAGCCAUGCCGCGUGUGUGAAGAAGGCCUUCGGGUUGUAAAGCACUUUCAGCGGGGAGGAAGGCGGUGAGGUUAAUAACCUCAUCGAUUGACGUUACCCGCAGAAGAAGCACCGGCUAACUCCGUGCCAGCAGCCGCGGUAAUACGGAGGGUGCAAGCGUUAAUCGGAAUUACUGGGCGUAAAGCGCACGCAGGCGGUCUGUCAAGUCGGAUGUGAAAUCCCCGGGCUCAACCUGGGAACUGCAUUCGAAACUGGCAGGCUAGAGUCUUGUAGAGGGGGGUAGAAUUCCAGGUGUAGCGGUGAAAUGCGUAGAGAUCUGGAGGAAUACCGGUGGCGAAGGCGGCCCCCUGGACAAAGACCGACGCUCAGGUGCGAAAGCGUGGGGAGCAAACAGGAUUAGAUACCCCGGUAGUC
rnacentral:rRNA from 1 species